CCUACGGGAGGCAGCAGUGAGGAAUAUUGGUCAAUGGACGAGAGUCUGAACCAGCCAAGUAGCGUGAAGGAUGACUGCCCUAUGGGUUGUAAGCUUCUUUUAUAAAGGAAUAAAACGAGGCAAGUGUGCCUUUUUGCAUGUACUUUAUGAAUAAGGAUCGGCUAACUCCGUGCCAGCAGCCGCGGUAAUACGGAGGAUCCGAGCGUUAUCCGGAUUGAUUGGGGUUAAAGGGAGCGUAGAUGGGUUGGUAAGUCAGUUGUGAAAGUUUGCGGCUCAACCGUAAAAUUGCAAUUGAUACUGUCAGUCUUGAGUACAGUUGAGGUAGGAGGAAUUCGUGGUGUAGCGGUGAAAUGCUUAGAUAUCACGAAGAACCCCGAUUGCGAAGGCAGCUUACUAAACUGUGACUGACAUUGAUGCUCGAAAGUGUGGGUAGCAAACAGGAUUAGAUACCCGUGUAGUC
rnacentral:rRNA from 1 species